AUUGAACGCUGGCGGCAGGCCUAACACAUGUAAGUCGAACGAGUGGCGGACGGGUGAGUAAUGUCUGGGAAACUGCCUGAUGGAGGGGGAUAACUACUGGAAACGGUAGCUAAUACCGCAUACCAUCGGAUGUGCCCAGAUGGGAUUAGCGAGUAGGUGGGGUAAAGGCUCACCUAGGCGACGAUCCAUAGCUGGUCUGAGAGGCUGAUCAGCCACACUGGGACUGAGACACGGCCCAGACUCCUACGGGAGGCAGCAGUGGGGAAUAUUGCACAAUGGGCGCAAGCCUGAUACAGCCAUGCCGCGUGUAUGAAGAAGGCCCUAGGGUUGUAAAGUACUUUCAGUCGGGAGGCGUUACCGACAGAAGAAGCACCGGCUAACUCCGUGCCAGCAGCCGCGGUAAUAC
rnacentral:rRNA from 1 species